rnacentral:rRNA from 1 species
AAUGAACGUUGGCGGCGUGGAUUAGGCAUGCAAGUCGUACGGGCCAGCAAUGGUCAGUGGCGAAAGGGAGAGGAAUACGCAGGUAUCUGACUUCGGGUCGGGGCUAGCCACGGGAAACUGUGGGUAAUACCCGAUAACGUCUCCGGACCAAUGGUGUGAUUCCACCUGGAGAGGAGCCUGCGUCCGAUUAGCUUGUUGGCGGGGUAAUGGCCCACCAAGGCUACGAUGGGUGCGGGGUGUGAGAGCAUGCCCCCGCUCACUGGGACUGAGACACUGCCCAGACACCUACGGGUGGCUGCAGUCGAGAAUCUUCCGCAAUGGGCGCAAGCCUGACGGAGCGACGCCGCGUGUGGGAUGAAGGCCUUCGGGUUGUAAUCCACUGUCGUAGAGGAGAAAGGACCGGUGCAGAGCCGAUUUUGACCUAUUCUAGGAGGAAGGGUGGGCUAAGUUCGUGCCAGCAGCCGCCGUAAGAC